rnacentral:rRNA from 1 species
GGCAGCAGUGAGGAAUAUUGGGCAAUGGACGCAAGUCUGACCAGCCAUGCCGCGUGCAGGAUGACUGCCCUAUGGGUUGUAAACUGCUUUUGUUUGGGAAGAAACCCCCGAUCGUGAUCGGGGCUGACGGUACCAUACGAAUAAGCAUCGGCUAACUCCGUGCCAGCAGCCGCGGUAAUACGGAGGAUGCAAGCGUUAUCCGGAUUCAUUGGGUUUAAAGGGUGCGCAGGCGGAAUAUUAAGUCAGUGGUGAAAUCCUGCAGCUUAACUGUAGAACUGCCAUUGAUACUGAUAUUCUUGAAUAUAGUUGAGGUGGGCGGAAUGUGUAAUGUAGCGGUGAAAUGCUUAGAUAUUACACAGAACACCAAUUGCGAAGGCAGCUCACUAAACUAAUAUUGACGCUGAGGCACGAAAGCGUGGGUAGCAAACAGGAUUAGAUACCCUGGUAGUCCACGCUGUAAACUAUGAUCACUCGCUGUUGGCAAUACAUCGUCAGCGGCUGAGCGAAAGCAUUAAGUGAUCCACCUGGGGAGUACGGUCGCAAGAUUGAAACUCAAAGGAAUUGACGGGGGCCCGCACAAGCGGAGGAACAUGUGGUUUAAUUCGAUGAUACGCGAGGAACCUUACCUGGGCUUAAAUGCAGAGCGACGUCCGCCGAAAGGUGGAUUCCUUCGGGCGAUCUGCAAGGUGCUGCAUGGUUGUCGUCAGCUCGUGCCGUGAGGUGUCGGGUUAAGUCCCAUAACGAGCGCAACCCUUAUCGUUAGUUGCCAGCGGGUAAUGCCGGGGACUCUAACGAAACUGCCGGUGUAAACCGUGAGGAAGGUGGGGAUGACGUCAAAUCAGCACGGCCCUUAUGUCCAGGGCUACACACGUGUUACAAUGGUCGGUACAGAGGGCAGCUACCACGCAAGUGGAUGCUAAUCUCGAAAACCGGUCUCAGUUCGGAUUGAAGUCUGCAACUCGACUUCAUGAAGCUGGAUUCGCUAGUAAUCGCGCAUCAGCCAUGGCGCGGUGAUACGUUCCCGGGCCUUGUACACACCGCCCGUCAAGCCAUGGAAGCUUGGGGUACCUGAAGUCCGUAACC